AUGUUUCUUUCUUUGUUUCUCGGCUGCCGGCAAGCAAAGUAUGGUUUCCUCAUCAUCAAGCUACAGAUUGUUUCUUUCAUUGAUAGAACUUGUGUUGCUCGUAGCUCAAGCCCUUGAUCAACCGGAUUUCCUGUACAACUUCUGUAUAAACGAGACAGGUAACUAUACCGCUGGUAGCCCUUAUAAGACAAACCUCGACACUCUUCUCCUUUCUCUUUCCACGGCUACGGUUUUUACAACUCCAACUCCUCCUUUGGAGAAAACUCGGACAAAGUUUAUGCACUCGGCCUCGAUCUGUAGAGGAGAUGUUGUUAAAACAGUAAUGCACAUUGAUAAUCUAGUUAUCUAGAUUAAUCUAGAAAUUGUACAAAUCUAGCUAGAUUAAUCUAGACUAAUCAUGGUAGCUAGUGUAGAAAGGUUCUAGAGUCAUGGUGUAAUUAAAGUAAUAAACUUCUAGUGUUGUCCAUUAAUAUGUGGUUAGCAAUUAACCACAUGCUAUGUCGGCUAGUUAUGUCGGUAAAGUGAUCAAAGUCUAUAAAUAUGUGUCAAGCCUUUUGCACUUGUAAUUAAGGGAAAACAACAAUCAUCAAAGCUGAUCCUCUAUAAUCAAAAGCUCCCCGUUCUCAAUAUAUACAAACAAACCUCUCCUCUGUUUUCCUUUCAUACAAACUACCUCCUCUGUUUUUAAAACUCAACCAUCUUCUAGUCCUAACCCACUACUACUAAAAGCUUCCUCACCAAAUACCAACAGUGCAUGGUAUCAAAGCCACAAAUUCUAACAGUGGUAUUAGAGCUUGCUUCGAUCAAAUUUGGGGCGUUGAUUUGUGUCUUCCACCAUGUCUACCUCCACCUCCAACCAAACAUCAAUUCCUCUUCCCAUCUUCAAGGGAGAAAACUAUGAUUUUUGGAGUAUCAAGAUGAGAACCUUCUUCAUGUCUCAAGAUCUAUGGGACAUAGUAGAGAAAGGAUUCUCGACUCCAGAAAAUCCAACGGUGGAGCAGUUGAAGCAAGAGAAGAAAGAAAAACUAAGAGAUGCUAGUGCUCUUUUUGCCAUCCAACAAGCGGUGGACGAUACAAAUUUUUCAAGAAUCAUGGGAGCUACCACAUCAAAAGAAGCUUGGGAUCUACUAAAGGAGGAGUUUCAAGGAAUUGCAAAGGUACGUUCCGUCAAAUUACAAACUAUGAGGAGAGAGAUAGAAAAUUUAAAAAUGAAAGAUUCUAAGAUCAUAAAAGAUUACUAUUCCAAAGUAAAGGAAAUAGUAAAUCAAUUAAGAGCCUAUGGUGAAAAUAUUAGUGAGACUAGAGUAGUUGAAAAAAUACUCAUUAGCCUCACUGAAAAAUAUGACCCAAUAGUAACUGCCAUCGAACAUUCGAAAGACAUAUCGAAUCUUUCGGUGACAGAAUUGAUAGGCUCUUUAGAAGCUUAUGAGAAAAGAUUGAGUAGUCGGAAUGAAAGUCCUAUAGAAAGUGCAUUCCGAUCUAAACUCAAUAUACGAUCUCAGAAAAAUGAAAAAGAAAACAAGUUUGAAGAAUUUUCUAGAGGAGGAGAUAGACCCAAAUAUUGGGAAAAUAAAAAAUAUAUAAAGGAGAAAAGAAAUUAUUCUCCAUGUGGAAUCUGCCACAAAAAUAAUCAUCAAGAAAAAGAUUGUUUGUAACGCCCCAAGCUGCACCUCACCAGCUUAAGCACGUCACAGUGCCGCGAGUUUCUAAAACAUAAACCGAAUGCUCAAUUUACAUCCUAGAGAACCGCUAGACAUUUUGCUUGAAAACUUUUUGUAAAACACAGCGAAAGCUACAAGUACUUUUGAGGUGAAAAUCCUUGAGUUGCUAAAAAUCAUUUCAUUCGUCCAGAACUUGAAUGAAUGUUCACACGAAGGAUACGAACUUUAAGGAAUGAGAACUAAAAUUGACACGAGCUAACUAUCAACAAGUUUCGGAACACGAAGUUCGAGAAAAAGAAUGUAGAACAAAGUCCAAACGAUGGUUUACCGGACUUAUUCCGCACACCCAGCUCCGUCUGCUUUUGUCCUGUCACCAGUGCAUAGUACCUGCAUCCACACUGUUGUAGGGGUGAGCUUUCGUCCUCGCUGCUCAACAGGAACUCUACCACGACUAGGUUUGACACCAGUAAAUAUGUAUUUGGGGAUCCCAGUAUGAAAACAUGCUUAAACCAAAGACUCCAAGGAACGACAAACUUUAUAAGAUUUUAUAACUUAAAAACUUAUGCAUGUUGCUUUAAUAAAUACGGCGCCAAAUCCAAGUAUUACCUGAUGUCCGGUCCCAUAGACCCAUUACACGACCUUACCUCAAAUUAAUUUAUCACCAGGUAAGCGUAGCGAGAACGUCCACUACCUAGCUACACACACGUACCGAGUCCGUGAUUGCGGAUACUCGGAUGACUGGCAUAGCUAACCCUCCGGAGGUUUAGGGAAUCAAACCCAAGGAAGUCAGUGCCCCUUUCGCUCUCAAGCCAUCACAUUUCUCACGAUUUGCACUAUUGUAGGGGACAAUGGCGGACGGAGCUGGGUGUGCAGAACAAGUUUGGUAAACCGUUUUCUGUACUUUAUUCUAAUAUAUAUUUCUCGAAUUUUGUAUCUCGAAACUCGGGUGAAACUAUUCUUGUGUCGAACCUAGUUAAUGUCUUAUUCCUUGAAGUUUGUACCUCCUGAGCGAGCGUUCAUUUCAAGUCUAGACGAACAAAUUGAAUUUAGCGAUUCAAGGAUUUUCACCUCAAAAAUAUUGGUAGCUUCUGCUGUGUUUUGCGAAAAGUUUUUCAAACAAAAUGCCUAGCGGUCCUCUAGAAUGUAAACUGAGCGUUCGGUUUAUGUUUUAGAGACUCGCGGCACUGUAACGAGCUUAGGCUGAUGAGGUGCAGCCUGGGGCGUUACAUUGUUGGUUUCGAGGAAAACCAAAAUGCCGAAACUGCAACAAGUUUGGUCAUAUUGAGGAAAAUUGUUUCCUCAAGAAAAAUCACCGAGCAGACUUUUCAGAAGAAAAUGAGCAAGAUGAGCAGCUCUUCUAUGCAUGUCACUCGGCGAUUGAAGAGAAAAAUAAGAAGUGGUACGUGGAUAGCGACUGCAUCAAUCACAUGUCUGGAGACAAAAUCAUUUUCUCCAAACUUGAUACUUCACGAAAGUCUCAAGUGAAACUAGGAAAUGGAGAAAUGGUGAAAACUAAAGGAAAAUGUACGAUUUCCAUCCCGACUAAUUUAGGAACUAAAAAGAUUAAUGAUAUUCUAUUAGUUCCUAGCUUGGAGCAUAAUCUCCUUAGUGUCGGACAAAUGAUGGAAAAUGGUUAUGCUAUAUUAUUUCAUGGAGACUUCUGCAAAAUAUUUGACAAGAAAAGAAGGUUGAUAUUCAAAAUAAGGAUGAAAAAUAGAAAUUUUCCCAUCCAAUGGCAACAAAUGGCCAUGAAAGCAGAAGUCAAGAAGAAAAAUAUUGGCCUAGAGAAAAAGCAGCCGAGGACUCCACCAAGUCAAGCAAAUAAAGAAAGAAGUUCAAAUCCUUCGAAGUCUAAAAGUUGUGAAGUUGCAAUGAAGAAGAAAGCAAAAGAAAGGCCACGAAAGAAGAAAGCCGAAGAAAGGCUAUGGAAGAAGAAAGCCGAAGGAAGGCCAUGGAAAAAGAAAGCAAGAGAAAGCACAACUUCGCCAAGGCACUUCAAAGAUCGAGACUUGAAUUAAUAUGAGAUUGCUCGGAGUAUCAUCAAUGAGCAUUAAGGAGGAGUGUUAAAACAGUAAUGCACAUUGAUAAUCUAGUUAUCUAGAUUAAUCUAGAAAUUGUAUAAAUCUAGCUAGAUUAAUCUAGACUAAUCAUGGUAGCUAGUGAAGAAAGGUUCUAGAGUCAUGGUAUAAUUAAAGUAAUAAACUUCUAGUGAGUUCUAGUUUGUCCAUUAAUAUGUGGUUAGCAAUUAACCACAUGCUAUGUCGGCUAGUUAUGUCGGUAGAGUGAUCAAAGUCUAUAAAUAUGUGUCAAGCCUUUUGCACUUGUAAUUAAGGGAAAACAACAAUCAUCAAAGCUCCUCUAUAAUCAAAAGCUCCCCGUUCUCAAUAUAUACAAUAAUACAAAUUUAACAAACCUCUCCUCUGUUUUCCUUUCAUACAACCUACCUCCUCUGUUUUUUAAACUCAACCAUCUUCUAGUCCUAACCCACUACUACUAAAAGCUUCCGCACCAAAUACCAACAGUGGUAUCAAAGCCACAAAUUCUAAUAGAUGUUGAGGCCGACGACUGCGGCAGUUGCCUCAGCGACGCCAGAUAUCGUCUCACGGCGGCCUGUCCUGUUCAGAAGGAGGCCAUUGUGUGGUACGACUAUUGCAUGCUACGCUACUCGAAUCAAUCCAUAUAUGGGAAGCUGACAUUAAUUAUCUCCUUCUUUCCGUAUGUGGAACCUACAUAACGUGUCGUCAACACUAGUGGAGGAGUUCAACCAAAAGCUUCUGCCCUUGUUGGAAAGACUGUCUAGUCAAGCUGCUGAAGGAGGUACUGAUCGUAAGUUCGCUGUAGGCUGGCAAAACACAAGCGCCGCCAAUGCAACAAGGACUCGCACAGUGUACUCCAGAUUUGUCAGCCCAAGAAUGCACUGAAUGCUUCCGAACAGCUUUAGCAAAGAUCACAGUAUGUUGUUUGGGGAAAUUUGGUGGGAGAGUUAUUAAACCCAGCUGUAACUUAAGGUAUGAAAUUUACUCAUUUUUUGACAUUGCAGCUGUGGCACCCAGCCACCCACACCUUCGUCACCAUUAGCAACACCGGCCUCUCCUCCUCCACUGCUGUCAGAAUGCUUUGAGUUUGAGUAGAAAGGAUUCUUGAUUUUUGCAGGAAAGAAGAAGAGUAAUACAUCUCGAACAUAAGUCAUCAUCACUGUGACAAUUGUUGUUCCGCUAGGGGUACUGAUUGUAUCCAUAUCGAUUUAUUUGAGUUCAGUUAAUUAGGAAGACUAAGGAAAAGUUUGAAGGUAAUUAGUUUGUGAUUAAUUACUUCUCCUUAAACUAAAUGAAUGCGGUGAUCAAUUCUCUACUGUUAAUCCCCCAGUAUGCUCACAACCAGCAUUUUAUAUGUAUAAUCAUGGCAUUGGAUCCUCAUCCGACAUGUCCUUGGGAUUUGAGAGUUACUCAGGAUUGACAUGGUCUGAUCAAUCCAAAAGCAACUCUGCCAACAAGGGUUUCAACUACCCGUUAGAAUUUCACAGACACAUUUUAUUUUAUUUUAUUUUGUUAUUAACUAUUGAUAUGUAAUUUUCCUAUCAAUUAGCUUAAUUUAGAGAGACGUUAAAAAUAGGGUUCUUGCCCCAAAGCACUAAAAUGAGCCAAACUUUUCUCACUUACCCCAGCAACAUAUUUUUGUUCCCACAUACACAAUUUCACACCAAAUGAUCAUUUUGCCCUCAACCCAAUUAAAGAAUUACAACGACGUCACUCUUUCUCCUCUCUCUCAUCCCGAUCUCUCUCUCUCUCUCUCUCUCUCUCUCUCUCUCUCUCUCUCUCUCUCUCUCUCUCUCUCUCUCUCUCUCUCUCUCUCUCUCUCUCUCUCUCUCUGUGCCAUGGCCGCUCCGGAAUCAGAGAACGCAGCCCACCACUGCCGGACCUUCACUGCACCUAGACCCCGCCGGACCUUCACUACGCCCAGACCCCGAUUGGAUCAGAACACGAUCCCAGAUCUCCGGCCAGUCUAAGAGCCUCAUGCAUCCAGCUUCGCUGCUUUCAGACCAUCGGACCCUCCAGACAAAAAUUGACUUAACCGCCGGAAGUUGCAGCCACGAGCGAGUCUGACAUUAACAGGAGCCGUUGACUCAGACUCCGGUUGAAAUCGAGCUACAUCACCGGUCAAACUCAGUCUCGAAACGGCGCCUCCUCGAAUCGACUGACAUCAUCAACGUCGUGUAUCCUCCAGUGCUCGACGCAGGUUGUGGCAGAGAAGAAAGAUGAUUGGGUGCCCAAAGCAUCUUCCUCGAGCAUUCCUUCGUCUUAAACUCCAUCAGAGUCGCCGGCGAUGUUCUCAUAGAGCAGUAGCCCACCAAGUCCGACGCCGGCAGGUUUGUCGCCUGAGGUGCUUUGGUCUUGGGUGCCCAGAGCAUUUUCUGGGUGCCCAAAUCAUUUUUUUUUUUGUAAACUGUGGGAAGAAAUCCGAGAAGGAAAGGACAAAAAAAAAAGAAAAAAAAGUUGUAUUGGGGGCAAAUCAAAAUAGUG